rnacentral:misc_RNA from 1 species
CUUACCUUUAAGGCUCAUCCCGUGAGGUGAGCAAGGAGCGACAAGAUGAACGCCGUGCCAAUCGGCCGAGGGAUCGGCGACUCAACCUUCUCACGUCACGGGUGAGGAGGUUUUUUUUU